rnacentral:rRNA from 1 species
GUCUGUAUGGAUGUUUAUAUAGUUUAGCCUGCCCAGUGACAGUUAGUGUUAAAAGGCCGCGGUAUUUUGACCGUGCAAAGGUAGCAUAAUCAUUAGUUCUUUAAUUUGGAACUUGUAUGAAAGGUUGGACAAAGGAAAAACUGUAUCUAUUGUAGAUCUUAAAUUUAACUUUUAAGUGAAAAGGCUUAAAUGAAUUAGAGGGACGAUAAGACCCUAUAAAGCUUUAUAAGUAAUAAAAAUUUAUUGAAUAAAAAAUAAAAUUAUGAUUUUAUGGACUUAUUAUGUUGGGGCGACAUGAAUAAAAAUAUAUUUAACUGUUUAGAAUUUUAACAUUAUAUUAAUGAGUUUUAAAUGAUCCUUUGUAAAGAUUUUAAGUCUAAGUUACUUUAGGGAUAACAGCGUUAUUUGUUUUGAGAGUGCUUAUCGAAAAAUAAGUUUGCGACCUCGAUGUUGAAUUAAAUUAUCUGUAUAGUGCAGUUGCUAUGUGAGAGAGUCUGUUCGACUUUUAAAUGUUUACAUGAUUUGAGUUCAGACCGGCGUGAGCCAGGUCGGUUUCUAUCUUCUAAGAAAAAAAUGAUUAUUUUAGUACGAAAGGAUUGAAUAAUUAAAAUAUUUUUGAUAUGAGAUA